CUAUUGCCCAGUCUGGUCUCAAACCCUGGGCUCAAGCGAUCCUCCUGCCUUAGCCUCCCAAAGUGCUGGGAUUAUAGGUGUGAGUCAUCGUGCCUGGCCAAGAUGAUUAAUUUGAACGUCAUAUUUAAUUAAUUUGCUUAAUUGUAGUAAUCUUUUUUUACCUGAACCCAUAGAAUUUUGCAAGUAUCAUCUGGCCAAGUUUCAGGAGUCAAUAAUACCUUGGAAAAAUUUAGAAGUUCAUUAUAUGGUUUACUUUUGUUAUCAAAUAACUACCUUUUUCGUAAAAUUUAUUAGACAAUCCAAUAAUUUUUCUUCAAGAUUUAAUAUUACUCUAGUGUUCUCUGUUUUCUCCUCCAGAUCUAUUAUUUAUUCUUCUCCAUCUUGUUCUGUGUUCCUGGAAGCCAACUUUUAUAAGCUGCAGAAAAUGGACUUCCUACUCUCCAGCUUCUGAUUGGGCUUGACCAAUGGGGAGCACUGGCAGAAGACAAGCACGGGAGGAAAAAGAGAUCAGGGCCCAGGAUCCAAUUCAGUCACCUCCAAGGAGUCUCUUCAGUCUAAUUUAUUCUAGAAAAAUUCUUCAGGCUUCCCUUCUCUGGCCAUGAUUUUUGAAAAAUACAGGUCAAUGACUUUGUAGGUUGUCUUCAGUUUGGAUUUGUCUGCUGUUUCCUCAUGAUUUAUGCAUCUUUGGUGGGAAUACCACAGAAAAGAUGCGAUGUUCUUCUCUGUACCAUAUUAGGAGUCACACAAUGUCAACUUGUCCCAUUACUGCUGAUGUUAAUGUUUACCACUUGGCUAAGAUGAUGUCUGCCAGGUUUCUCCACUGGAAAGUUAACAGUAUUUAGUACUUGUUAAGUGAUGAGUAAUGAAUAAAUAUUUCAUGGGGAGAUGUUCUGAGACUA
rnacentral:lncRNA from 1 species